rnacentral:tRNA from 1 species
UGGGGCAUGGCCAAGUGACUAAGGUACUAUAUUUUGGUCCUGUUACUCAGAGGUUCGAAUCCUUUUGUCCCAA